rnacentral:rRNA from 1 species
UCGAGGAUCUUUCGCAAUGGGCGAAAGCCUGACGAAGCGACGCCGUGUGAGCGAUGAAGGCCUUCGGGUUGUAAAGCUCUUUUAUUUGGGAACAAGAAAGGUCGUUGAAUAGACGGCUGAUUUGAGGGUACCAGAAGAAAAAGCACCGGCUAACUCCGUGCCAGCAGCUGCGGUAAUACGGAGGGUGCAAGCAUUAGUCGGAUUUACUGGGCGUAAAGGGCGCGUAGGCGGCCGUAUAAGUUAGGUGUGAAAUGCUGGGGCUCAACUCCAGCGCGACACUUAAUACUGUAUGGCUUUGAGGGCGUGCGGAGAGAACGGAAUUCCACAAGUAGCGGUGAAAUGCGUAGGGAUGUGGAGGAACACCGGUGGCGAAAGCGGUUCUCUAGCUUGCACCUGACGCUGAGGCGCGAGAGCAAGGGGAGCAAACAGG